CUGCCCUGACCCUCGGACUGGAAGCUGGGUGCUUGUUGGGGGCAUCCCCACCCCCUAUCCCGGAGGCCGGGUGCGGCACCUCCGCCCCUCCGCCCGCCAGCCGCUCCUGCAUUAAAAUUUCAUGGGCGCUGCAGUAAAUGAGAAGACGAAGCCGGCUGCACUGGGGGGCCGUAGGGAGGGAGGCUGCGGACCAGUGCGGGGAGGAGUUUACGAGGGGAGGCGCUUGCAGGGGCUCCCCCAGUUCUGUUGAAAGCAGGGCACAAAGAGCCCUCUGCACUCCAGCCGCAGGAACGAGGAGCCGAGGCCCUUCCUCCACUUCUGGGACUCAUUCCAGACUUGGGGCGUCCAGUGCAUCUCCGCACCCUCAUUGCGACAUCGCUCUGGAUGAUGAUCAGACAUCCUCCCUCGGAAAGCCACCGCUUUGGCAAAAGAGCCCCGCAAAGUGGUCACUUCCUGCUGAUCUCUGGAAGGCUCCCCAGCUUUACAUUCCCAGUGGCUUCUGGAGCUCAGGGCACCGGAGACUCCAAAGCACUUUGUGCCAGCGGGCUCUUGUCUGCUUCCUCAGUGUGAGCAACAGAAAGGGCAGGAGAAAGAGAAGCACCCGGGACCUCUGCUGAAGCCCUCCGCCAUCUCCCUGACAGCUUUGGUGUGAGGCCUGUCUGUUCACAUGCACAUGGCUGCCGUGUCUCAGUGGGAAAGAAGCAAGUCUUCAUCUCCUGCAUGGAUGCAGAUGGCAGAGGCCAACAGCUUCUGAGUCUCCCAAACCUCAAGGCUGAGGGGCCAUGGUCACUGGUAAAGAUCCCGCCAAGUUUCCGCAAUAACAACUUACAGAUAAGUAUCCCUUCACUAGUCCCGGGGCGCCAGCCUGCUCUCUGCUGGUGCAUGUGCAAAGGAGAGUUGGUCCUGGAACCCCAAGAGGGAGGGUGGAUGUCUGAUGGAUGGCUCUGGCUCUUGGGGAUGGCAUUUGUAAUCUUGGGUAGGCUCCUUGUCUUCCACAUACACAGAGGCCUCCGCAGGGCUUCCCACAGGACACAUUGCUUCUCUCAGCUCCAGGCUCCUGUGACAGCAGGCUGAGACUGUGCUACGAGAUGCUUCCCCUUCCUUGGAUCAGGCUCUGGACGACAGAUGUAGUAAAUUGUCAGGAAAGAGCAAAUCUGAGCCCAGGGUUGAGAGUCAGGGCGUCUCUUCCAUCCUGGUAACUUACGAUGACCUGAAUGAGCCCUGUACCUCCCUCUGAUUCCAGACAUGUUCUCUGCUGUGGGCAUCCAGGAAGGGUGGGAACUGAGGUAGACAGAAGGAUUGCUUUCACUCCCAGACAUUGCCUUGAAUGGCUAUUAUAGUGCCUUGUAUGGCAGGGCAGGAUGUGUCCCAGGGUCCAGAGAGAGGGAUAGGUUUCCAGCAAUGGCAGCAGUACUGAGGUCAGAGCUCCAGGCCCCUACUCCAUCAGGACUCCCCCUCUGCUGGCCCUAAGUUGCCCAGCUUGCUCUGAGAUUUCCUGGAUCACAAAGGAAACCACAGUGUGUCCAUGUUUGUGAAGGAUGCUCUGGGUGGCAGGGAAGAAGGAGGCAGGUGAGGCUCUUGGACCAAAGCAGGGCUUGGGCAUGGUCCUCACCUGGGCCAGGAUUGGCUCUUCUGUCUUCCAGAGUCAUGCUGUGUUGUCCCUGUGGGGGAGGAGCUAGAAGCUAGGCCUGUGAUGAUGUUGAUGAUGCCAGGCCGUGCUGGGUGUCCAGUGGUGAAUGACAGGGACGUGGUCCUACUCUCUGAGAUCUUCAAGUAAGAAAACAUCACCACAGCUCAGCAAGGGGAUAGCUCUGCCUGUCUCCAGACCCUGGUCUGCUUUGGAGCCCUGGAUUUUGACCUCAUGGAACGGGGAACAACCUGUCUCCCUGAAGAUGCUGUCCUUUCCGAUGCCAGAGAUGGAGCCCCCUGCAGAAGAGCCGUUUCUGGAAGAUACAUUACUUAGCAUCCACCCUGCCUUUGAUGAACAGAUCCAGGGUGGGAGAGUGGGGCACUGGAGGCCCUUUCUGAUCCCAUGUGGACUGGAGGUGGGGCGGAGUUAAGCCCCUCCUAAGGACCUGUGGGUAGGGCAGGGACUCAUGGGCAUGGAGGAGGAGCUGCUGGGGAGGAGCCCGAUGUCUGUCUUUUGUCUGUUUUUCUUUUCCUUUGUUUGCUGCUUGAAUGGUGGUUCUGUUUGGGUGCUUCCUGGGUGAGGCUUAGCUACCUGCUGGUUGUGGUGAGAGGACCGCCAGUCCUGGCCUGGGAGGAGCCUGGCUAGUCUCUGUGCAGUCAGCAGGGAACCCUGGAAAGAGAAAGGGGAGUCCUAAGAUAAGGAGACCCAGUAGGGAGGCCUACUGGCAGCCGCAUACCUCCAGCUUCCUCAGUCACUAGAUUAUACCCUGCAGGGGCUACAGAGCCUUUGCCAGGACACAGGGCUGCCCAGCCAUCGCCUCCCUCUGUGUUGAGUAGCUGCCAAGGGACUGAGACACCUGCACCCCUUCUCAGGGUGAGGUGCCCUAGUGUAACCCCAUGUCUGUUCUCCACUGUGGGUCACAGUCCCUCCUGAAGGAGAUGGCUCUACAGUGUGUGGCCUUCUCUGGGACAGCCUAGAAAGCCUUUUUCCUGGGGAGGAGGGGCUGUGGGGCUUGGCAACAGAGACUCACAGCCCCAGGCUUGAGGCCCUCAGAGCAAGAUCAAGGUGCCAGAAGUAGCUUUAUGUCCCUGUGUGGCCUUUCUCUGUGUCCAGAGUGAGUGGGCUCCAGGGAUUUGUCCCAUAAGGGCACAGUCACUUGAGGACCUAGGCUUAAGACCUCAUCUGAGCUACGACACACUUUGUCUCUCCAGACCUUCUCACUGGGGCUGGGGAAUCCAGCCUGUGCCUCUUGACUCUCACAGGGUCGUUUCACAAACAUGAAUAGCUAGAGCUGUCUCUCCUUAAGAAUCCCCCAUAUUGGGAGGAACAGAUGAAUGCCAAAUGGGUACACAGUUGCGGCUGUUGUGCCUGGUGUCUUGGGAACAUGGUGGCUGUAGCCAGUGCAGAACCAGCUCAGGUCUUGGGGCAUCCUCUGCUAUACAAGUCACCGUGCUCGACCAGCCUUGAUUUCCACUUUGUCAUGUGGGCCAUAUGCUCUCCUGGUGGCUUUCCAGGGGGUCCUGUGCCUGGUGUUCCAUACAGUCAUGUCCAUGUGGGAAUUUAGGGAGGUUAGGUUGAGGGCACAUCUGGAUAGGUAGGGGGCUUUCUGAUCCAGAGGCAUUGCUGCUUGGGUCACCCAUGUCUGUCUUCCUGACAAGCCUGGGGCUGAGGCCGCUUUUGGUCUCUCUUGUAGCUCUCCAUGGUUUCCAGAAGGGAAGGAGCCCUGUUUCCUGUUGCCAAUCUGGAGUCCACUCUGGUUCUUUGCUGUGAGCCAGUGUGGGAACCUGCUGCUGCCCAGCCAUGCUUCAGACACUUGGGAUUUCCUAGUCAGCGGGGAGAGAAACAGUUCCCAGGAAGGGGUAGAUAAUGGGCAGUCAACAGAGGCCCCGAGAGGGAGGGAGACCGCAGCUCUGGCACUCUGGAGGGGUUUCCUACUCAGGCUGACCCAACCAGGGCCUUGGAGGAUGAGAAAGGUACGGUUUAACUGAGUACCCUUGGGAAGAAAUUCAAGCAAAAAAGCGGGACUUUUCAGAGCCCUGAAAACACUAGUGAGCAAGCUUCAGAUACUCAGGGAGGGAUAGAAGGUUGAAGCAGUUCCUGGUUUUUUUUUAAAUUUUUAUUUAUUUAUUUAUUUAUUUAUUUCUGGCUACAGAACUAUUUUCUUACCAAACCCUGUCUAGAAUUCUGGGAGACACAGGUUGGUCAUUAGCAGGCACCUUGAAGUUGCCUGGAAAGGAAGGAAAUCGAAGAGGCCAGAGGUGAGAGGGGUCUAAGCUUUAGUACAUAGCUCAGUUCCCUGCAUGCAGCGUUUGUAGAGGAAGGCAGGCCAGGGCAGUGGGAGCAGCCAGAGGCCUGGGAGUUGACGAUAGGAGAGAUGUCCAUUUCCAAGCCUGGCAGCUCUGGGGUGGGGUGGGGAGGAUAGAUGUUUGGUGGAAAGACGCUGACGAGUGUGUUCAUGUGUGUGCGCCUGUGUGUUUGUGUACAUGUGUGCGCGUGAGAAGAUCCUGGCUACAACCAGGGAAGGGAGUAUGCCCUGAGGUCAAGCACAGGACAUUUCCAGCAGAGCUGGAGUGUUUGUGGGGGCUCUGAGACCCACAGCAGAGAAACGGAAGCUCUGGGCUUCCAGCAGGGGUCACUGAGGUCAAGCUUGAUUCCUGGAGGGGGUGCGUGUUGAGGGGUGUAGAGGCAGACCCCCUGCCCUGGUCAGGCCCCAUGCCCAGGCUGGUGGGGACAGGAGGUCUGUGAUGGUGGGGGGGCGUUAAAAGGGGGUGGGGUGCAUGAUGUGAUUUAACCUACUAACCAACUCAGGGCUCGGCCAGGACGCUGUGGCACAUGACAAGAUGCCUGGCCUUCUGUCAAUUGACUAAUCCACUAACCUGGCCUGAGCAUGUCCUACUAACCCUGCGGCAGCCAAACCCUACUAACUGCAGCCCAUGGGCCUUCCCAGAGGCUGGGGCAGACGAGGCUGAGGAAGGCCCUGCCUGGGGCCUGGGAUCUCUGUGCAGACCCAUCCUGCAGGGCAGGGCACGCUAAGAGACACACCAACUCUGCUGCUGGGGACUGUGUACCAGCCACCUACUCUCUGUGGUGGAAUGGGACCCUUCUACUCCCCUCGAUGCCUGUGGUGGGCAACGAAGGUACUGCUGCCCCAGCAGGGACUUCAAAAUGGAAAAAGACAGGGUGAGGGCAGGCUGCAGGGAACUCGGUGCUAUGUCCAUCCCCUGAUCUCGGGUGUUCUGCACACAGACCCUUCUGCCUGAGGCAGACACAUGCUUUGAACCCUUAACUGUCUCUUCCUGUUCUCUUCUUGCCAGCUUUCUCUCCCAUAGGCAAACUCUUUUGAUUACUAAUUGUCUAACCCUGGGGCACCCCACCCGCACCCCGCUGCCCCUUAACUAACUAACGGCCCCGCUGCCUUCUUCUCUCCUAGUGGCUCCUGUGUGUGUCCGCUGGUGCUGUGCUCUGACCUACUAACCCGGCCCUACUAACCGGUUUCUCUAACUAAUCCAGCCCUGCCGAGCUCUGGGCCUCCUGGGGGCUGGUCCCUCCUUCUGGCAAACAGAUGUCCCUGGGCUGACCAGGCCAGGUCUGAGUCAGGGGACAACCAUAUUAGUGAUGCCCAGAGGAGGAGGAGGAGGAGGCUGUCCUGUGGGUGUGGGACGCUGGGCUCCGAGCAUGACCUCUCUCCUCUGUGCACAGGACUGGUUGCCAUCAGGAGUGGAUGGGACCAGGGGAUCUUGUGGGAGCCAGUGUGGGGCCUGUGGAUCUAGCGUAGGAGAUACCAGGCCCUACUUAGCCUAGGCCCUCUGUGAUUUGGGCCAGAUAGAAAGUGUUAGGAACCCCAGAGACUGGCCAUCUUAUACAGGACCGCAAGGGUGUGCGUUUGAACCUCAAGCCGACAGAACGGCUUGGCCUCCGUGGAAGCUGUAAGUGAGAGCUUCCUAAGUAGGAAGUAUGUGAAGCGGCCUUUCCCUGUGAAGCUACAGAACAAAGUCAGGCAUUCCUCAAGUGAAGCCUGAGGAGACGGCAUCCGGACACUGCAGUCUGAGAAGAGAUGGCCAGUGACCAGUGGGCAGUGAGCCUGAGAGACCUUUCCCACUCAGGGGUGGGAAUAGCAAUCUGGAAGUAGAUGCGGAACCAUUUUCACACAGGAAGAAGGUGUGAGGGUAUUUUUCCUCAGGAAGUGUGGAGAAAGACUCGCCCCACACUUGGAAAGGACAGACUGCCAGCUGCCCUGGUGCACAGGUGUGGAAAUGCCUAUGGGAAGGGGACAUAGGUGCCCGGACAUGACUCCUAAGGGCCCAAGGGUCACUGGGAAGUCACACCAACUGUUUAUUGACCUGUUAAUGCUCAUGCCUCUGCCCCAGCCAGCCUCCCCCAGAGCCCGCCAGCUGCUACGCCAGGGCCACACCUGGAGGUGAUUUCAUGCCUCACCUCCAGUAGGCUCAUGGCCUCUCUGGGCUAACCUCUGACUCCCUCGCACUAACUAGCUCUUACCCAGCUGAUUCCUGCCUCUCCAUGGCUGCCCCAGGGGCUGACCACUAACAGCCAGCCCUGCCUAUUGGUGGGGGGGCGUAUGGGCCCAGGUUCCUGGCCUGGCUUUGGCCGGCUCACUUGAACUACCCUUCCUCUGGACUAAUUCAUUGUUCCUUUUGGCAGAAGUGAAUGGCUGUGGCUUUCUCUCUGACAGGUCUCCUUCCCUCCCGCUAUUACCACUAAUGGCUUGGAUGGCAGCAUGGCCGGGAAGGGGCUGGUACAGGUUCCUAGCUUGGUGGACGUGGGGGGAAUGUAGCUAGGGAAAGUAGAUCCCAUGACUGCUCUGGGUCAGAGCUUCCAAAUAUCAGUCAAGGUGGUACCCAGGCUGGGGUGUGGCUCAGGCCAGAAGAAAGGAUACGGUCAUCUACUGAGCACCUUGGUGGGGUCAGACCUACAGUCAGCCUUCUAGAGGUGUGGCCACUGACCCAACCCCCUAAUCUUAUGACCUGCAGGGCCUGUUAUCUCCUGGAAACUACAGCCUCAGUCCUCAUAAGCAGAGGCAGCUCGUAAGUUUCACCUAAGACACCUGUCCGGUUUCCUCAAAGGAUUUGUUAUUUACGGAAUUGCUGGAGACAAGACCAGGGUCUGCUUUGAGUCCUUGUUUGAGAGACUUACAGAGUUUUGUCCCUAUAAACACCAAACUCAGACAGAAAAAUCCACAAGGGCUGUAAAUUCUCCAGCCACUCCCACCCUAGAGAAGCCCAGCUUCUCUAACUCUUCUAAGGCAACUCUUUGACACAGGGUGCACUGAGGCGAGGGGGUGUGGCUGGUAAGGGGGGGGGGCUCUUAAGGCAAGGGGAUGUCCUUGGUGACCAGGAGUAGCAGGGGUGUGACACCAGGCUGAGGCGGGCCAGAGGGUCUUGUUUCACUGAGUUGGUCUGGCCUACAGGUCAGAGCCUAGACUAUUGGAGGCUCAGCGGCACUGUUUGGACCUGUGGGUGACCUCAGGAACAGGUUGCCUGGGUCAGCGGGUGCUGUGAGAGCUGCUUUCCCAUGGGUUAGGUCUCACUGCAACAGUUACCCAGCCACCAGCGAGCCUGUAGGAGCUACAGCGGAAAUGGAGGAGAUGCCCCUUAGGGAGGUGGGUUAGCAUACGAGAUAGGACUGGGAUGCACCGCUGCUGCCCUCUCAUGGCCGCUCCGCUUCAUUUUACCCACAAUGCCCAGGAGCUCACGCAGCAGAGGCUGCCCUCCUGGGGCCCUGCGCUGCACCAGGCUCUGGUACAGCUGCUGAGACUGGACCUCAGCCUUCUCCUCGAAGGCAUGAGAGUCCCGAUAUGGUCCUCAGUAGCUGAAAUUCUGUGUGGUGGUCCCAGGACAAAGAGCUCGAGUGAGGCAAGCAGUGGGGAGAGCUCUCAGAACAGGCGUCACACCAGCCAAACUUUGGUAAGCAAGGCACGGCUGAGUACAAGCCCCAGGCAACUCAAGAUCAGAGAGGAUCCAAACAGAUUCUGGGGGAGCGUAUUAGGUGAAGGGGCUCAGGAUGGGGCAAAUCCCAGGCCUCGUUGUCAGCAAAAGCGGGCUUCAUCCUUGGGGUGCCAGAUGUGGUCUGCACUUGUAAUUCGUAGCACUAAGGCGUUAGAGACAGAUCUGUGGGGUCCACCGGCCUAUCAGCCUAGCUCAUCAUACGGUCUGAGCCGGUGGCAGGGCUGGGGUUUCACGCUACUUCCGUCUCUUCAGCCGAGCAGGGAGGAGCUUGCAGUGUGUGCGGGCCACAUUCUACACUGCACCAGAACUUCUGGUCACUAGGAAGACCCUUUGGUCUAACUGGAAAGGAGCAGGGUUCAUAGUGCUCACCCUCAACCUUCAUUGGGGUUCAUGAGAGAUACCUGGAAAGCAAGGGACAGAAGUGACAGGAACUUAAAACUUAAUACAGACCCCAGGCCCCAAUGGUGUAUGCCUCCUUCAGAAGAUCUGGAGGUAGGUGAUGUUGACAGUGAUGGUGUGUGUGUGUGUGUGUGUGUGUGCGCGCACGCACAUGUGUGUGCAUGUGUGUGUAUGUGUGUGUGUAUGUGCAUGCAUGAGGGUGGGAGAAGAGAGUAUGACUAGAGGAAGUCGAGCCUCUGACGGCACAUUCUCUUUUGUCCCUGGGCUGCUCCUCCUCCUGUCUUUUCCACUAAACUUUAGGCUUGUUUUGAGCAGGAGCCUACAGGUUACAGUGGAGCCUCCUGUCUGAAGGUGUCAGUAUCUCUUUACAGCCUGCCUGGAGGGAGGGGCCACUGUGGAUUCUGCCCCAGGGUGGGUUGGUGGCAGUAGGACAGCCUGGGGGUGCUCAGGGUGGGAGCCCUGGUGCAGCCCUGGGGUCCCCCAACAGUCUCUGUGGAAUCUGUUCUAGGGCCCAUUGUUUUAUGACCAGCUUAUCAGAGAUGUGUGCAUUGUUUCUGCUGGGGAAUGCUGACUGUGGGCCCUGGAAGCCUGCUGUAAAGCCUGGAUUGUUCUGUGGGUUCACCCACAGUUACUGGGUCUUUUGAUGUUCAUGCUUGUUGCUGAGUCUGUGUAAGAUGCCAUUUUGAUAUUAAAACUGGCACACACUGGA